rnacentral:lncRNA from 1 species
UAGCGGGAGUUUUAACCCCCGGUAUUUGUGGGGGUUUUAAGCCCUGGUAUUUGCGGGGGUUUUAACCCCCGAUAUUAGCGGGGGUUUUAACCCCUGAUAUUUGCAGGGGUUUUAACCCCCUCUGACCCAACACAACCUAACCAAACCCACCCUAAUCCCACCCAACCCAUUCCAACCCAACCCAACCCCAAACUCAUUCGACUCCACCAAAUCUCACCCCACCUAACCCUACCCAACCUAACCUUACCCAACCCAACCCCAUCCCACCC